rnacentral:rRNA from 1 species
AUUGAACGCUGGCGGCAGGCCUAACACAUGCAAGUCGAACGGUAACAGGAAGAAGCUUGCUUCUUUGCUGACGAGUGGCGGACGGGUGAGUAAUGUCUGGGAAACUGCCUGAUGGAGGGGGAUAACUACUGGAACCGGUAGCUAAUCCCGCAUAACGCCGCAAGCCCAAAAAGCCGGACCUCCCGGCCCCUUGCCCUCCGCUCUGCCCAGGUGGCCUUCGCUAGUAGGUGGGGUAACGGCUCACCUCGGCGACGAUCCCUAGCUGGUCUGAGAGGAUGACCAGCCACACUGGAAGUGAGACACGGUCCAGACUCCUACGGGAGGCAGCAGUGGGGAAUAUUGCGCAAUGGGCGCAAGCCUGAUGCAGCCAUGCUGCGUGUGUGAAGAAGGCCUUCGGGUUGUAAAGUACUGUCAGCGGGGAGGAAGGGAGUAGAGUUAAUACCUGGGCGGAUUGACGGUACCCGCAGAAGAAGCACCGGCUAACUCCGUG